GACGAACGCUGGCGGCGUGCUUAACACAUGCAAGUCGAGCGGUAAGGCCUUUCUGGGUACACGAGCUGCGAACGGUUGAGUAACAAGUGGGUGAUCUGCCCUUCACUUCUGUAUAAGCCUGGUAAACUUGGUCUAAUACCGGUUAUUACCUUCUCUCGCAUGGUUGGUGGUUGAUAGAUUUAUCGGUGCAGGAUGGGCCCGCGGCCUGUCAUCUUGUUGGUGGGUUUAUGGCAUACCAAGGCGUCGUCGGGUAGCCGACCUGCGAAGGGGACCGGCCACACGGGGAAGGAGACAAGGCGCAGACGCAGACGGGAGGAAGGAGUGGGGAAUAGUGCACAAAGGGAGAAAGGCUGAGGCAGGGACGCCGGGUGAGGGAUGACGGCCUCCGGGUGGUAAACAGGUAGCAGCAGGGACGAAGGGGAAGUGACGGUACCGGCAGAAGAAGCACCGGCUAACUACGUG
rnacentral:rRNA from 1 species